rnacentral:rRNA from 1 species
UACGUAGGGACCAAGCGUUGUUCGGAUUUACUGGGCGUAAAGCGCAUGUAGGCGGAUCGAUAAGUCGGGCGUGAAAUCCCCAGGCUCAACCUGGGAACUGCGCUCGAAACUGUAGGUCUUGAGUGUCGGAGAGGAUGGCGGAAUUCCUGGUGUAGAGGUGAAAUUCGUAGAUAUCAGGAGGAACACCGGUGGCGAAGGCGGCCAUCUGGACGACAACUGACGCUGAGAUGCGAAAGCGUGGGGAGCAAACAGG